GUGUCAGCCGCCGCGGUAACACGUAGGGUGCAAGCGUUGUCCGGAAUCAUUGGGCGUAAAGAGCUCGUAGGCGGCUUAGUAAGUCGGGUGUGAAAACUCUAGGCUCAACCUAGAGACGCCACCCGAUACUGCUAUAGCUAGAAUCCAGUAGGGGAGUGUGGAAUUCCCAGUGUAGCGGUGAAAUGCGCAGAUAUUGGGAGGAACACCAGCGGCGAAGGCGGCACUCUGGGCUGGUAUUGACGCUGAGGAGCGAAAGCGUGGGUAGCGAACAGGAUUAGAUACCCUCGUAGUCC
rnacentral:rRNA from 1 species